rnacentral:rRNA from 1 species
UACGUAGGGGGCAAGCGUUGUCCGGAUUUAUUGGGCGUAAAGAGCGUGUAGGCGGCCAGAUAGGUCCGUUGUGAAAACUCGAGGCUCAACCUCGAGACGCCGAUGGAAACCAUCUGGCUAGAGUCCGGAAGAGGAGAGUGGAAUCCCUGGUGUAGCGGUGAAAUGCGCAGAUAUCAGGAAGAACACCCGUGGCUAAGGCGGCUCUCUAGUACGGUACUGACGCUGAGACGCGAAAGCGUGGGGAGCGAACAGG